AGGGGGAUAGCUCAAUUGGUAGAGCGUCGGUCUCCAAAACCGAAGGUUGGGGGUUCGAAGCCCUCUCUCCCUGCCA
rnacentral:tRNA from 2 species